rnacentral:rRNA from 1 species
UCCGGUUGAUCCUGCCGGCGGUCACUGCUAUCGAGUUUCGACUAAGCCAUGCGAGUCACAGGCCGAAAGGUACUGGCGGACGGCUCAGUAACACGCGGAUAAUCUACCCUCAGGUGGGGUAUACCCUUGGGAAACUGAGGCUAAUCCCCCAUAGGUCCUGUAAACUGGAAUGUUUUAGGACUGAAAGUCACGGCGCCUGAGGAUGAGUCUGCGGCCUACCAGGUAGUAGGUGGGGUAAAGGCCCACAUAGCCUAUGACGGGUACGGGCCCUGAGAGGGGUAGCCCGGAGAUGGGUUCUGAGACACGAACCCAGGCCCUACGGGGCGCAGCAGGCGCGAAACCUUCGCAAUGCGCGCAAGCGCGACGAGGGGAACUCGAGUGCUAUUAUCCUUUUGGGUGAUAGCUUUUCUCGAUCCUAAAAAGAUCGGGGAAUAAAAGCUGGGUAAGACGGGUGCCAGCCGCCGCGGUAAUACCCGCAGCUCAAGUGGUGGCCACUAUUAUUGAGCCUAAAGCGUCCGUAGCCGGUCUUGUAAAUCUCUGGGUAAAUCCCAUCGCUCAACGGUGGGAAGACUGGAGAGACUGCAAGACUAGGGAUCGGGUGAGGUAAGAGGUACUCCUGGGGUAGGGGUAAAAUUCUGUAAUCCUGGGGGGACGACCGGUGGCGAAGGCGUCUUACUAGAACGACUCCGACGGUGAGGGACGAAGGCUAGGGGAGCAAACCGGAUUAGAUACCCGGGUAGUCCUAGCUGUAAACGCUGCCCACUUGGUGUUGCCCUUUCGUAGGGAAGGGGCAGUGCCGGAGCGAAGGUGUUAAGUGGGCCGCUUGGGGAGUAUGGUCGCAAGGCUGAAACUUAAAGGAAUUGGCGGGAGAGCACCGCAACGGGAGGAGCGUGCGGUUUAAUUGGAUUCAACGCCGGG